rnacentral:rRNA from 1 species
GAUGAACGCUGGCGGCGUGCCUAAUACAUGCAAGUCGAGCGAACGGACGAGAAGCUUGCUUCUCUGAUGUUAGCGGCGGACGGGUGAGUAACACGUGGAUAACCUACCUAUAAGACUGGGAUAACUUCGGGAAACCGGAGCUAAUACCGGAUGAUAUUUUGAACCGCAUGGUUCAAAAGUGAAAGACGGUCUUGCUGUCACUUAUAGAUGGAUCCGCGCUGCAUUAUCUAGUUGGUAAGGUAACGGCUUACCAAGGCAACGAUGCAUAGCCGACCUGAGAGAGUGAUAGGCCACACUGGAAGUGAGACAGGGACAAGACUCCUACGGGAGGCAGCAGAAGGGAAUCUUCCGCAAUGGGCGAAAGCCUGACGGAGCAACGCCGAGUGAGUGAUGAAGGUCUUCGGAUCGUAAAACUCUGUUAUUAGGGAAGAACAUAUGUGUAAGUAAAUGUGCACAUCUUGACGGUAACUAAUCAGAAAGCAACGGCUAACUACGUG